GUGAUGGUCCAGCGAGUCCCUAUUCUCCUCCUCCUGCUCCAGCGGCUGCCGGCUGUAGGCCCUACGAGAGACUGCUGGCUUGGGGCGCAGCCCGUACCUCUGGGAGAGGCCACAAAGGGGUCGGAGAGCGCGGUCCUGUGCACAGUUAGGGUUAAGUCCGCUCAGUCUCCAUUGGGCCCUGAUCCUGAAGUUCUGUGCCCUCCGAAGAAAGGGCCUAUUCACGUUUCCUGGAGACGCCGGAGGUGCCCAGCUUGUGCUCACCACUCAAGCAGCUCUCCCCUUGCUGGAGGUGUGGGUUGGAGAAUUGCAGAAUUUCCCUCUCGGCCCGAAUGAGCCAUUACCAAAGCAUUUUGUCAAAAAUAGUGAAGUUAGUUUGGCCUUCCAAGGUUAGGUGGUGUGGUAGAUUGCGGGACCGAGGUUCAGAAUUUCUGGGGGCUGUAUCCCCGAGCCCCACUCCUCAGAAUGCAACUCUGUACGACGAAGGAACUGGGUACCGAAUUGGCAUGGAUUUGACAAUUAGCGAUUCACGGUUAAGCAGACUUUAUCUAUCUUAAUCCAAUCAAAGGAGAAUUUCUGCCUGCUGUGUUUGGAGAGACAACGCGUGGAUGUGAGUUAAACUUUGUUAAACCCAGGACAAGCUUUAAGAUAAAACGACUGAU
rnacentral:lncRNA from 1 species